AGGUCACUGCUAUCGGGGUUCGAUUAAGCCAUGCGAGUCGAGAGGGUUCGGCCCUCGGCGUACUACUCAGUAACACGUGGAUAACCUGCCCUAAGGAAGGGGAUAACCUCGGGAAACUGAGGAUAAUACCCUAUAGGUUACAGACGCUGGAAUGCCCUGUAACCGAAAGCUCCGGCGCCUUAGGAUGGAUCUGCGGCCGAUUAGGUUGUUGUUGGGGUAACGGCCCAACAAGCCGAUAAUCGGUACGGGUUGUGGGAGCAAGAGCCCGGAGUUGGAUUCUGAGACACGAAUCCAGGCCCUACGGGGCGCAGCAGGCGCGAAAACUUUACAAUGCGGGAAACCGUGAUAAGGGAACCUCGAGUGCCUGUAUAUGCAGGCUGUCCAGGUGUCUAAAAAACACCUGAAGAAAGGGCCGGGCAAGACCGGUGCCAGCCGCCGCGGUAAUACCGGCGGCUCGAGUGGUGGCCACUUUUAUUGGGCUUAAAGCGUUCGUAGCUGGGUUGUUAAGUCUCUUGGGAAAUCUGACGGCUCAACCGUCAGGCGUCCAAGGGAUACUGGCAAUCUUGGAACCGGGAGAGGUGAGGGGUACUUCGGGGGUAGGAGUGAAAUCCUGUAAUCCUCGAGGGACCACCUGUGGCGAAGGCGCCUCACCAGAACGGCUUCGACAGUGAGGGACGAAAGCUGGGGGAGCAAACCGGAUUAGAUACCCGGGUAGUCCCAGCCCUAAACGAUGCGCGUUAGGUGUAUCGGUGACCACGAGUCACCGAGGUGCCGAAGGGAAACCGUGAAACGUGCCGCCUGGGAAGUACGGUCGCAAGGCUGAAACUUAA
rnacentral:rRNA from 1 species